rnacentral:tRNA from 1 species
CUUCCGGUAGCUCAGUCGGUAAGAAGCGUCAGUCUCAUAAUCUGAAGGUCGAGAGUUCGAACCUCUCCCCGGAGCA